GGACCUCUUGCUAAUAGAUGAGCCUAGGCCGGAUUAGCUAGUUGGUAGGGUAAAGGCCUACCAAGGCGACGAUCCGUAGCUGGUCUGAGAGGAUGAUCAGCCACACUGGAACUGAGACACGGUCCAGACUCCUACGGGAGGCAGCAGUGGGGAAUAUUGGACAAUGGGGGCAACCCUGAUCCAGCCAUGCCGCGUGUGUGAAGAAGGCCUUCGGGUUGUAAAGCACUUUAAGCGAGGAGGAAGGUCUUUGAACUAAUAUUUCAAAGAAUUGACGUUACUCGCAGAAUAAGCACCGGCUAACUCUGUGCCAGCAGCCGCGGUAAUACAGAGGGUGCAAGCGUUAAUCGGAAUUACUGGGCGUAAAGCGCGCGUAGGCGGUAUGUUAAGUCGGAUGUGAAAUCCCUGGGCUCAACCUAGGCAUUGCAUCCGAUACUGGCACACUAGAGUGUGGGAGAGGAAGGUAGAAUUCCAGGUGUAGCGGUGAAAUGCGUAGAGAUCUGGAGGAAUACCGAUGGCGAAGGCAGCCUUCUGGCCUAACACUGACGCUGAGGUGCGAAAGCAUGGGGAGCAAACAGGAUUAGAUACCCUGGUAGUCCAUGCCGUAAACGAUGUCAACUAGCCGUUGGGCUCCUUGAGGGCUUAGUGGCGCAGCUAACGCGAUAAGUUGACCGCCUGGGGAGUACGGUCGCAAGACUAAAACUCAAAUGAAUUGACGGGGGCCCGCACAAGCGGUGGAGCAUGUGGUUUAAUUCGAUGCAACGCGAAGAACCUUACCUGGCCUUGACAUGUCUGGAAUCCUGCAGAGAUGCGGGAGUGCCUUCGGGAAUCAGAACACAGGUGCUGCAUGGCUGUCGUCAGCUCGUGUCGUGAGAUGUUGGGUUAAGUCCCGCAACGAGCGUAACCCUUUUCUUUACUUGCCAGCGGGUCAUGCCGGGAACUUUAAAGAUACUGCCGGUGACAAACCGGAGGAAGGCGGGGACGACGUCAAGUCAUCAUGGCCCUUACGGCCAGGGCUACACACGUGCUACAAUGGUCGGUACAAAGGGUCGCUAACCCGCGAGGGCAUGCUAAUCUCAAAAAGCCGAUCGUAGUCCAGAUUGGAGUCUGCAACUCGACUCCAUGAAGUCGGAAUCGCUAGUAAUCGCGGAUCAGAAUGCCGCGGUGAAUACGUUCCCGGGCCUUGUACACACCGCCCGUCACACCAUGGGAGUUUGUUGCACCAGAAGUAGUUAGCCUAACCGCAAGGAGGGCGAUUACCACGGUGUGGCCAAUGACUGGGGUGAAGUCGAACAAGGUAGCCGUAGGGGAACCUGCGGCUG
rnacentral:rRNA from 1 species